UACCUGAUUCAAUUUGCCAGUAGUCAUAUGCUUGGCUCAAAGAUUAAGCCAUGCAUGUUUAAGUGCAUGCUUUUAUACGGUCAAACCGCGAAUGGCUAAUUAAAUCAGCUAUGGUUUAUUGGAUCAUAACCGUUAAAUGUAUAAUAGUCAUAACUCUAGAGCUAAUACAUGACCCAAAGCCCUGACCCGCCAGGAAAUGUGUGCAUAUAUUAGAUCAGAAGCCAACCAGGUAGUGUUUACUGCCUUCGGGUGGGAGCUUCGCUGCAUGCCGUCCUUCUGGUGUCUCUGAAUUAUUGUAACAGAUCGCAGUCGGCCUUACCUCGCCGACGGGUCCUUCAAAUGUCUGCCUUAUCAGCUGUCGAUGGUAGGUAACCGGCCUACCAUGGUGAUAACGGGUAACGGGGAAUCAGGGUUCGAUUCCAGAGUGGGACCUUGAGAAAUGGCGACCACUUCCAAGGGAGGCAGCAGGCACGCAAAUUACCCACUCCCAGUACGGGGAAGUUGUGACGAAAAAUACUGAUGCGUGACUCUUAUUGAGGAUCCGUCAUCGGAAUGAGUGAAAUAUUUAUCAUUUCACGAGGACCAAUUGAAGAGCAUGUCUGGUGCCAGCAGCCGCUGUAUUUCCAGCUAUAAAAGUGUAUAUUAAUGUUUGAUGCAGUUAAAAAGCUCUACGUUGGAUAUUGGUAUCACUGUCGCCUGCCAGUCCCCGGCUGAUAGUGUCAGUGUAGGUGGGCGGCCUUUCUUCGCUCGGUGCCCCUUGCCCAGGCAUGGUUAUGCUCGAGUUGGCUUGGCGGUGGUGUCAACUUUUAGCCAUGUCUGUGGUGAAAUACCCGCAGGUGUAGGCGAGUGUCAGGUGGUGCUCGGCAACAGUAGGGUCCGUCGGCUCGUCUGCAUGCAUUUUGAUGCCCUUGUAUAUGGGGGAUGGCACGUUAAAUCGAACACAUUUGAGUGCUCAAACCAGACCGAUGUUGACUGAAAAGUUUUGCAAGGAAUAGGAAUUCGGUUUUAUUCUGAUGGUUUUUGUUUUUGAUAAAAUGCUCAAAAGAAACAGGUCGGGACGUUUGUGAUUGAGGUGAAAUUCAUGGACCGUAACGAGAUAAACUAAAGCGAAAUCAUUCGUCAAGCAUCUUUUCAUUGGCCAUGAGUGAAAGUCAGAAGCUCGAAGACGAUCAGAUACCAUCCUUGUUCUGACCAUAAACGAUGCCAUCUGACGAUCCUUGGUGGUAGUAUUUAAACCAUCCCCAGGGGCAGUCCUCGGGAAACGUUUAUUCCUUGGGUUUCGGGGGAUGUAUGGUAGCAAAGCUAAAACCUAAAAGAAUUGACGGAAAGGAACAACCAGGAGUGUAGCCUGCGGCUUAAUUUGACUCAACUCGGGAAAACUCACCUGGUAAUGACAAUUUAAGGAUUGACAGAUUGAUAGCUUUUGAUUGAUUUGGUGGUUGCUGAUGCAGGGAUUUUCUUAUUUGGUGGAGCGAUUGUCUGGUAAAUUCUUAUAACGACCUAGACUCUAUCCUUCUAAUUAGUUCGCCUGUCCUCUGUGCCUGUGUUGGCGGUGUUAGGCCGAAACUGCCCACUUCAGCUGACUACUGCCAGGCCGCGCAUUCCUCUGCCCGCGUGUGAGCUGCGAGCCCUUCCUAAGGCGAGUGUGGUGCGCGUGUGUGGGGGCGUGGACUGUGGUAGGAGGUGUGAGCGUUGGGUUUAGCGCUAGCCUCCGGGUAUUGCGCAGGUGUGUGUGACCUUCUUGCCCGAAAAGGUUGGGCAAAUUUGUCAAUCACCGUCAUGACUGGGAUUGGGGAUUGGAAUUGUUCCCCUUGAACGAGGAAUACCUUGUAUGUGCAAGUCAUAAGCUUGCGCUGAUAACGUCCCUGCCGUUUGUACACACUGCCCGUUGCUAAAACUGAUUGAAUGGUUCACUAGGCUCCUAAUAUUGGCGCCAUUGCAGUGCCAGCCGCAAAGUUGGUGCUCGACGACGACGAGAAGGCGACAAAACAUGAUCAUUUGGAGGAAAUAAAAGUCAUAACAUGGUUUCCGUAGAUGAACAUGCGAAAGGAUCAUAA
rfam:Schistocephalus solidus strain NST_G2 genome assembly, scaffold: SSLN_contig0002935